rnacentral:rRNA from 1 species
AUUGAACGCUGGCGGCAGGCCUAACACAUGCAAGUCGAACGAGUGGCGGACGGGUGAGUAAUGUCUGGGACACUGCCUGAUGUAGGGGGAUAACUACUGGAAACGGUAGCUAAUCCCGCAUACCAUCGGAUGUGCCCAGAUGGGAUUAUCUAGUAGGUGGGGUAAAGGCGAACCUAGGCGACGAUCCCGAGCUGUUCGGAGAGGAUGACCAGCCACACUGGAACUGAGACACGGUCCAGACUCCUACGGGAGGCAGCAGUGGGGAAUAUUGCACAAGGGGCGCAAGCCUGAUGCAGCAAUGCGGCGUGUAUGAAGAAGGCCUUCGGGUUGUAAAGUACUUUCAGCGGGGAGGCGUUACCCGCAGAAGAAGCACCGGCUAACUCCGUGCCAGCAGCCGCGGUAAUUC